rnacentral:tRNA from 1 species
GCUAGUUUUGCGGAGUGGUCAAACGCGGAGGACUUAAGACCCUCUCCUUCGGGUUCGCCGGUUCGAACCCGGCAGCUAGCA